rnacentral:hammerhead_ribozyme from 1 species
AUUCAGCUGACGAGUCUCAAAUAGGAUGAAACGUGUGUUUUGUAU